AUUGAACGCUGGCGGCAGGCCUAACACAUGCAAGUCGAACGAGUGGCGGACGGGUGAGUAAUGUCUGGGAAACUGCCUGAUGGAGGGGGAUAACUACUGGAAACGGUAGCUAAUACCGCAUACCCUCGGAUGUGCCCAGAUGGGAUUAGCUGGUUGGGGGGGUAACGGCUCACCAAGGCGACGAUCCCUGGCUGGUCUGAGAGGAUGACCAGCCACACUGGAACUGAGACACGGGCCAGACUCCUCCGGGAGGCAGCAGGGGGGAAUAUUGCACAAUGGGCGCAAGCCUGACGCAGCCAUGCCGCGUGGAUGAAGAAGGCUUUCGGGUUGUAAAGCACUUUCAGCGGGGAGGCGUUACCUACAGAAGAAGCACCGGCUAACUCCGUGCCAGCAGCCGCGGUAAUAC
rnacentral:rRNA from 1 species